rnacentral:rRNA from 1 species
UGCCAGCCGCGCGGUAACACGUAGGGCGCAAGCGUUGUCCGGAAUUAUUGGGCGUAAAGAGCUCGUAGGCGGUCUGUUGCGUCCGCUGUGAAAACUCGGGGCUUAACCCCGAGCCUGCAGUGGAUACGGGCAGACUAGAGGUAGGUAGGGGAGAAUGGAAUUCCCGGUGUAGCGGUGAAAUGCGCAGAUAUCGGGAGGAACACCGGUGGCGAAGGCGGUUCUCUGGGCCUUACCUGACGCUGAGGAGCGAAAGCGUGGGGAGCGAACAGG